rnacentral:rRNA from 1 species
UCCGUAGGGUGAACCUGCGGAAGGAUCAUUAGUGAAUAAAUAGGGUGUCCAAUUUAACUUGGAACCCGACCUUCUCACAUCUAACCCUGUGCAUCUGUAUUUAAUGGCGAGCAAUUUUCGAAUUGUGAGCCAUUUCACUUUAUAAACACUAGUCUAUGAAUGUAAAAUUUUUAUAACAAUAAAAACUUUCAACAACGGAUCUCUUGGCUCUCGCAUCGAUGAAGAACGCAGCGAAAUGCGAUACGUAAUGUGAAUUGCAGAAUUCAGUGAAUCAUCGAAUCUUUGAACGCAUCUUGCGCUCUCUGGUAUUCCGGAGAGCAUGUCUGUUUGAGUGUCAUGAAUUCUUCAACCCAACUGUUUCUUGUAAACAGCUGGUGUUUGGAUUCUGAGCGCUGCUGGCUUCGUGCCUAGCUCGUUCGUAAUACAUCAGCAUCCCUAAUACAAGUUUGGAUUGACUUGGCGUAAUAGACUAUUCGCUAAGGAUUCAAUGUUCUGCAUUGAGCCAACUUAGUUAAGGAAGCUUCUAAUUGAAAAGUCUACCUUUAGAUUAGAUCUCAAAUCAGGCAGGAUUACCCGCUGAACUUAAGCAUAUCAAUAGCGGAGGA